UACGUAGGGUGCGAGCGUUAAUCGGAAUUACUGGGCGUAAAGCGUGCGCAGGCGGUUCGUUAAGUCAGAUGUGAAAGCCCCGGGCUCAACCUGGGAACUGCAUUUGAAACUGGCGGGCUUGAGUAUGGCAGAGGGGGGUGGAAUUCCGCGUGUAGCAGUGAAAUGCGUAGAGAUGCGGAGGAACACCGAUGGCGAAGGCAGCCCCCUGGGCCAAUACUGACGCUCAGGCACGAAAGCGUGGGGAACAAACAGG
rnacentral:rRNA from 1 species